CAGUGUGCGGUUUCUCACGAGGUACGACGGCGAGGUCAGUGAGCCUCUCGUGGGGCGCCAGGGAAGUCGGGUCUCCAUGCGAGUGGCGAGGGGGAGCGCGUCAUUGCUCCCGAGCCAUGGUAGGGGAAUGUGGCCUCGAGACGUGUUGAAGAAGGUCUCUCGAGGUCUUUCUCGGGUUGAGGCAGGAAACCCUGGGUUCCCUCGACUUGUGCAGGUGACCUCAGGGGGCUUCUCAUGGUGGCUCUGAGAAGCCAGGGAAACUGGAGGUGGGAGGGGCCUCUCGGGACUCCACUGGGCUUGGUGCAUUGGAAGAGGGCCUCAUCUCCAGUUGAGGCAGGAACCGCAGGGUACCUCUGAUUUCAGACUCCGAUCGCAGGGUCCCUGCAGACUGGGGACAGGAGAGUCAGGCCUCGUCUUGGGUUGAGGCAUGGAACUCCGCUUGCCUCUCGAGAUGUCCCCGGGGAGAGAGGCCGCUUGUCGAGCUGUAUUUGGAACCUGGGGUUUUUUCCGAACGAUGCACGGAAAAACUGCCCCUUCGUGUUGACUUCAUUCACAGGCUGGAGUUCGGAGAGGUGUCCGGGCAUCGGGUUCUUAUCAAGAGGGGACCGGGAAAUCGGGGUCCUACGGAAUGUGGAACCACCCACGAGGCCACGUCUGGAAUGUCUUCGUGAGACCGGCCUCAUCCUGAGGUGCGACCGGAAGGUCGGGAACCCCUUCCAGACAAAGCAGGGGAGUCGACCCUCCUGUCCAGAUCAGGAGGGGAGAAAGGGCUCAGAGGAGGGGGUGCCGGAAAACCUCAGUGUUCCUCUCGAGGGAGACCGGGAUUUCGGGGAACUUUGUGGGUCGCAUCCAGGGUGCCAAGGGCCCUUUCGACCUCCAAUUCCUAACGUGGGACUUCUCCUGAGGCGCUGUAGCGGGAAAGGGCUUCAUCUUGCGAUGACGGGGGAGCCACGUGGUUUUUCUCGAGUUACGGCGGGAUUCUCGAGUUACGACGGGGAAUUCAGGCUGCCUCUUGUGUUGGCCCAGGCAAGUCCAAUCUUCCAUUCGAGUUGCGAAGGAAAGCUGGGGAU
rnacentral:lncRNA from 1 species